rnacentral:tRNA from 1 species
GACACCGUUCUAGAGCCUGGUACUAGGCUGGACUGCUAAUCCAGUGCCCUAUGGGCGCGCGGGUUCAAAUCCCGCCGGUGUCA